GAAAAGUGAGUCCUAUGAACUGAAUAUCUGUGUCCCCCACCAAAACUCAUGUUGAACCCCUACCCCUCAAUGUGAUAAUAUUUGGAGGUGAGGCCUUUGGAAGGUAAUUAGGUUUAGAUGAGGUCUUGAAGGUGAGGCCCACAUGAUGAGAUUAUUUUCCUUAUAAGAAGAGAGAGGGACAAGAGCUCACUCUAUCUCUGCCAUGUGAGGACACAGAAAGAAAGCAACUAUCUGCAUGCUAGGAAGUGGUCCUCACCAGAAGCCAACUACUUGGGCACCCUGAUCUCGGACAUCCAGCCUCCAGAACUCUAGCUCUGCAUGACAGCAUUGAAUACAAAUAUCACUGAUGAUGAUGAAUGGAUUGAGGAAUGCGGAAUGCAUUGUACUAAAAGGGGUUGCUGAGCAUUGGAGGUGACCCAGUAUUAGAGUAUAUGAUUCUUCAUUUGCUACAAGAGAACACCUCAUCUGGGUCACCAACAGCUUUCUGACGAAUGCUGAGGAAAUUGUGUGCAACUAAUUCCUACAACGAGAAUCCCGUACCCACUGUGAUGGGUGAUCUGUUUGCUCAAGACAGAGGAGCCCAUUAAGCAAGCAUCACGUAUGACCUGUUACCGGGGUUUAGACACCAUCUGCAGCCUGGCUUGCUGCCCAUUGCACGUUGUGGCCGUGAAUCAACAUUGUGACAGAGAGGGCACUGGGUCAGCUACAUUCCAUUAAUGGAUCAAAGUGUUUCAUUUAGAUUCCUACAGCAAAGGAGAAGGAAUAUGGAUGAUAUGUAGCCUGGGAUGGACAAAAGCUUAGUUGGCAGAAACAGACAUAUAGAAUUUUUUAAUGUAAAUCUGACAAAGCCAAAGUCCCUGAAUUAUUUUUGUCUGCAAUCAAUCCUUCAGAAGAAUCUCUCACAUCUUCACUUUUGUGCAGUAUGUUAACUAUGAACAAAAUGAUAGUGUAUGUCAGUCAAAUGUAAUACUUAUAUUAAAACCUGAUUAUUAAUGCAGAAGCUCAUGGAAAGUAAGGUUAAUCUGAAUAAUAUAUUAUUUCUCUUAGUCCACAAUCUAUCAUUUCACAAACCAUGGUUAAUAGAAUGACAAAAAUAAAAAGCUUUGUUUAAAUGAAAAUGUAUAAUAUAUUCUUCAUCUCAUUUAUAUCUUAUUGUGUUAGGUAGGCGAACAUAGCUAGUCUGUGAAUGUGAUAAAAAGAAGAUGAUACAUUUCUUUGUUUUAAAAAUCUUAAGUAUUCCUGCUAAAUAGUGAGUUUCCAAAGGCUUGCUAUUAUUUAAAAUAUUGC
rnacentral:lncRNA from 1 species